rnacentral:rRNA from 1 species
GCUUAACGCGAAGAACCUUACCUACUCUUGACAUCCAGAGAACUUAGCAGAGAUGCUUUGGUGCCUUCGGGAACUCUGAGACAGGUGCUGCAUGGCUGUCGUCAGCUCGUGUUGUGAAAUGUUGGGUUAAGUCCCGCAACGAGCGCAACCCUUAUCCUUUGUUGCCAGCGGUCCGGCCGGGAACUCAAAGGAGACUGCCAGUGAUAAACUGGAGGAAGGUGGGGAUGACGUCAAGUCAUCAUGGCCCUUACGAGUAGGGCUACACACGUGCUACAAUGGCGCAUACAAAGAGAAGCGACCUCGCGAGAGCAAGCGGACCUCAUAAAGUGCGUCGUAGUCCGGAUUGGAGUCUGCAACUCGACUCCACGAAGUCGGAAUCGCUAGUAAUCGUGGAUCAGAAUGCCACGGUGAAUACGUUCCCGGGUCUUGUACACACCG